rnacentral:rRNA from 1 species
AUUGAACGCUGGCGGCAGGCCUAACACAUGCAAGUCGAGCGGAUGAAGGGAGUUUGCUCCUGGAUUCAGCGGCGGACGGGUGAGUAAUGCCUAGGAAUCUGCCUGGUAGUGGGGGAUAACGUCCGGAAACGGGCGCUAAUACCGCAUACGUCCUGAGGGAGAAAGUGGGGGAUCUUCGGACCUCACGCUAUCAGAUGAGCCUAGGUCGGAUUAGCUAGUUGGUGGGGUAAAGGCCUACCAAGGCGACGAUCCGUAACUGGUCUGAGAGGAUGAUCAGUCACACUGGAACUGAGACACGGUCUAGACUCCUACGGGAGGCAGCAGUGGGGAAUAUUGGACAAUGGGCGAAAGCCUGAUCCAGCCAUGCCGCGUGUGUGAAGAAGGUCUUCGGAUUGUAAAGCACUUUAAGUUGGGAGGAAGGGCAGUAAGUUAAUACCUUGCUGUUUUGACGUUACCAACAGAAUAAGCACCGGCUAACUUCGUG